CCAACGGGAGCUGGGCGGAGCCAGCGGCGGAAGUGACGGUGUGCGGUACUGCUCAAAGUUCGCUGGUGCGCGAUUUCUAAGCCGGUUGUGUUUUGUUUAUUUUUUUGUUAUCUAAAGCCGUUAUCUCCAAACAUUUUUUAAAAAAUCCUGAGCAUGCUCAAUAGGAAAUUUUGGGGACCGUCCCCCUCAUCUGUUUGUAUUUAUAAACUAUAAAGAUGAAAGUAUUUUGUAAAACUAGAGGCAACAUGGCACAGGGGAUGGGGAAGCCAGACUUGAAGUCAGAAAGACCUGAGGUCAAGUCCCAGCCCCGACGCUACUGACCCGGUGACCUUGGGCAACACACUUCACCUCUCUGUGGCCUAGGCGACUGGGAAGCCUGUAAAUGACGGGAAAGGGGCCAACCUGCCCUCAUAGAGGGCGAUUUCCUCACCAGCGAGUUCUCCUGUAACAGUGAAAUCAUGGGGCCCGUCCUUGUCGCUGCUGGAGUAACGUUAUAGAACUUUAAAAAAAUAGAAAUUUAAAAAAGAAUUAGAUAAGAUGGAACAUUAGAUAAGAAUGAAAUAUUUCUUGUAAAGACAGAGAAGAAUGUCCUAAUGAGAAGAAGGAUAAUCAAGAGAGUCUAGAAAGUAGAGAAUUGGUGCAGCAAGCAGUGUGUUUUCAGGACUGUCCAAGCUUCAGAAAGAGAAACUGGACCAAUAUUCCUUUCAGGUAGAAGUGUGCUUCAUUAGGUUCUGCUCUAGCCUUGAUAGAGUGGCCCUCAAGGCAAUUUUCUACUCUCUCUUCUGUUUCCACAUUCACUAAGCAACCACCUGGUUACUGAUUCAUUUCAUUAGGUACCUGGACACAAGACAUGUGGUGCCUUGGUGGACGCUGUACCUCAAUUAAUUGUUCUGCCACAGUUAAUCAGGGGAAAAUAAUGAAAAAAGGCAAAAAUUACCAAGGAUCUCAGGAGAGGUCUGUCAUCUGGGGUGCUGCUAGGACUCUGAUGAAAAAGUCCACAUCAUAUGGCUUCUCCCACAGACACAAAGGCUUCCUCUGUCAAGGAGGGAGAGGCUAAGCAAUAUUAUAAGAAGAGAAGAUGGGCUGAUCACGUAAGAGCAGAGGCAUUCCAUUCACAUUCUCAUGAUGGGAGAAGAAUGUUAGAAGUCCCUCAGCAUUUAAGGUGGACCCUCUAUGGCAAAGUUAUGAAAGGACAUGGACAAGAAUUGCAUAGGCUGGGCAGGUAGAGACUGGUUGUGAUUUGCAUCAUUGGAGAAAACAUCUAGACCAAUGAGAUGAUAUCCAUUUGAGUAUGUUCAUAUGCCACAACUUGUUCAGCCUUGCCUCUCAUUGAUGGGUGCCUCAUCUGAUACCAAUUUUUUGCUACCACAAAAACAUUGCUGCUCUAAAUAGUUGUGUAUUUAUGAGACUUUUCUCUCUGGCUUUCACUUUCCAUAUCCAAGAUUUAAAAGCUCUAGAAAACUUAUUAUCUCUGCUUCAAAUAUAUUCAUUUGAUUCAUCUGAUAGCAAAAUAAGGCUUCCAGUGGCUUGAAACAAAUACAUUUCUUUAUAUAGUUUCUGUUUCCAGAUGUCAAUAAGGAUAAAAGGUCUGAGAGCUAGUCAGAGAAGAAGUUCUUUCAUACAGAUCAUUUUCCAGUUCUCACUGGCUUGGAGGAAAUUGACAAGGGCUCCUUUUUCCCGCUGUAGGAGAUGAAGGAGACAACUUUGGAGGUGGAGAAUAGCAGAGGUGUGGGACUAGCAGGGGGAUAGGAAAGAACCCUCACUGAGGUCCUUGUGUUGAAUUUUCUUAGUUCAGAGUUGAGCAAGGGUCAAAUAGCUGCUGCUCUUCUGACCAAGAAAGAGCUCUGGGCACCAGGGACUAGCAGUGCAGAGAAGGGACAAUCCAGACAUUGUGUUUGUUGGUUUAACUGAUGAAGAAUAGGCUUGUGUGUCACGGUGUCUGUCCUGAAAGAAUUCACUCUGUCUUCAAGUUAAUAAAGGCAUUUAGUGGGGUGACUGCCCAGCAAGCUCUGUUUCUUAUGAGAGGCCAGAGCAGUGAGCCAGAUUGUAUGUCUGGUCUAUAAACAGUUUGAUGGGAUAGAGGGAUGGGGGGUGCUACUACAGUUUAAGAAAAUGGGAAGGGGCAUUGGAGAGGGGAGGAAGAGGAGGAGGAGGAGCAGCAGCAGUUACUCUGGAGUGUCUGAAUGUCAGCUAGUCAGAGGUGCUUUGUGAAUGCAUACAGAUAAUAUAUAGUCUUACUGAUCACUUUUUAGCUGGUCCCACCUUGAAUCUUAUCUCAUAUCUCAUCUUCUGCAUCCCGUUUGCCCCGUCUCCUGGAACACUCCUUUCUAAAACUACUUAGCUACCACUGUUCUUUCCUGGGAACUGAGAAGCACCUGCUUCUUAUCUGCCUUUCUCUACUUUCUACUUAAUCACCCUUGUAGUAAAGAAUAGGGUGGAGAGGAUGGAAAGAUGGCGGAAUUGAGAUCUGUUACAUCUUCAAGCAGUAUUUUCAGUUUCUUUUUGUAUAUUUCAAUAUGCAUAAAAACAUAUAGCUACCCACUUCUAGGGCUAUAUCCCAAAGAGAUCAUACAAAUGGGAAAAGGACCCACAUGUAU